UGGGGAAUUUUGGACAAUGGGGGCAACCCUGAUCCAGCCAUUCCGCGUGAGUGAAGAAGGCCUUCGGGUUGUAAAGCUCUUUCGGCAGGAACGAAACGGUGGUUACUAAUACUAGCUACUAAUGACGGUACCUGAAGAAGAAGCACCGGCUAACUACGUGCCAGCAGCCGCGGUAAUACGUAGGGUGCGAGCGUUAAUCGGAAUUACUGGGCGUAAAGCGUGCGCAGGCGGUUUCGUAAGACAGAUGUGAAAUCCCCGGGCUUAACCUGGGAACUGCGUUUGUGACUGCGAGACUCGAGUGCGGCAGAGGGGGGUGGAAUUCCGCGUGUAGCAGUGAAAUGCGUAGAUAUGCGGAGGAACACCGAUGGCGAAGGCAGCCCCCUGGGUCGACACUGACGCUCAUGCACGAAAGCGUGGGGAGCAAACA
rnacentral:rRNA from 1 species